rnacentral:rRNA from 1 species
UGGGCGUAAGCGUGCGUAGGCGGCUUUUUAAGUCGGAUGUGAAAUCCCUGAGCUUAACUUAGGAAUUGCAUUCGAUACUGGAAAGCUAGAGUAUGGGAGAGGAUGGUAGAAUUCCAGGUGUAGCGGUGAAAUGCGUAGAGAUCUGGAGGAAUACCGAUGGCGAAGGCAGCCAUCUGGCCUAAUACUGACGCUGAGGUACGAAAGCAUGGGGAGCAAACAGGAUUAGAUACCCUGGUAGUCCAUGCCGUAAACGAUGUCUACUAGCCGUUGGGGCCUUUGAGGCUUUAGUGGCGCAGCUAACGCGAUAAGUAGACCGCCUGGGGAGUACGGUCGCAAGACUAAAACUCAAAUGAAUUGACGGGGGCCCGCACAAGCGGUGGAGCAUGUGGUUUAAUUCGAUGCAACGCGAAGAACCUUACCUGGCCUUGACAUACUAAGAACUUUCCAGAGAUGGAUUGGUGCCUUCGGGAACUUAGAUACAGGUGCUGCAUGGCUGUCGUCAGCUCGUGUCGUGAGAUGUUGGGUUAAGUCCCGCAACGAGCGCAACCCUUUUCCUUAUUUGCCAGCGGGUUAUGCCGGGAACUUUAAGGAUACUGCCAGUGACAAACUGGAGGAAGGCGGGGACGACGUCAAGUCAUCAUGGCCCUUACGGGCAGGGCUACACACGUGCUA